GAUGAAGAACGCAGUGAAAUGCGAUAAGUAAUGUGAAUUGCAGAAUUCAGUGAAUCAUCGAAUCUCUGAACGCACCUUGCGCCCUUUGGCCAUUCCGAAGGGCAUGCCUGUUUGAGUAUCAUGAACACCUCAACUCUUCAUGGUUUUCCAUGAUGAGCUUGGACUUUGGGGGUCUUGCUGGCCUGUGGGUCGGCUCCUCUCAAAUGAAUCAGCUUGCCGGUUUUUGGUGGGCAUCACAGGUGUGAUAACUAUCUACGCUUGUGGUUUUCCACCAGGGUAACCUUCAGCAGUGGAGGUUCACUGGAGCUUACAAAUGUCUCUCCUCUGUGAGGACAGCCCUUUGAAUGUUUGAUCUCAAAUCAGGUAGGACUACCCGCUGAACUUAAGCAUAUCAAUAAGCGGAGGA
rnacentral:misc_RNA from 1 species